GACAGAGGUGCCGAGCGUUAGGCGGAAUCACUGGGCUUAAAGCGUGUGUAGGCGGAUGGGUAAGUACCUUGUGAAAUCCCACGGCUCAACCGUGGAACUGCUCGGUAUACUGCCCGUCUUGAGCCAGCUAGGGGCAACCGGAACAAACGGUGGAGCGGUGAAAUGCGUAGAUAUCGGAAGGAACACCAGUGGCGAAAGCGGCUUCCUGGUCCGACACCGACGUUCAGGCACGAAAGCGUGGGGAGCAAACAGG
rnacentral:rRNA from 1 species